rnacentral:misc_RNA from 1 species
AAGUCGUAACAAGGUCUCCGUUGGUGAACCAGCGGAGGGAUCAUUAAAGAGUUGCAAAACUCCCUUACAACCAUCGCGAACGUUACCCCCAUAACCGUUGCUUCGGCGGGCAGGCCAACCCCCUCUCGGGGGGGCGCCUCCCCGGCCCCCCUCGCGGGGGCGCUCGCCGGAGCGGCACAACCAAACUCUUAUAACUAUUGGCCUCUCUGAGUAAGAUUUUUAAAUAAGUCAAAACUUUCAACAACGGAUCUCUUGGUUCUG